GACGAACGCUGGCGGCGUGCCUAAUACAUGCAAGUUGAGCGCUGAAGGUUGGUACUUGUACCAACUGGAUGAGCAGCGAACGGGUGAGUAACGCGUGGGGAAUCUGCCUUUGAGCGGGGGACAACAUUUGGAAACGAAUGCUAAUACCGCAUAAAAACUUUAAACACAAGUUUUAAGUUUGAAAGAUGCAAUUGCAUCACUCAAAGAUGAUCCCGCGUUGUAUUAGCUAGUUGGUGAGGUAAAGGCUCACCAAGGCGAUGAUACAUAGCCGACCUGAGAGGGUGAUCGGCCACAUUGGGACUGAGACACGGCCCAAACUCCUACGGGAGGCAGCAGUAGGGAAUCUUCGGCAAUGGACGAAAGUCUGACCGGGCAACGCCGCGUGAGUGAAGAAGGUUUUCGGAUCGUAAAACUCUGUUGGUAGAGAAGAACGUUGGUGAGAGUGGAAAGCUCAUCAAGUGACGGUAACUACUCAGAAAGGGACGGCUAACUACGUG
rnacentral:rRNA from 1 species